rnacentral:tRNA from 1 species
GCUAUCUUGGCGUAACUGGCAGGCGCACAGGACUUAAAAUCCUGUUUCUGAAACACGAAGUGUGGGUUCGAGUCCCACAGAUAGCA